rnacentral:lncRNA from 1 species
GGAGCUGGUAAUCAGGAUGGCAGUGAGGCAGGCACUUGCUUGCAGAAGAACAGGCCUAGUUUUUUAAGAAGCCACAAAAGUGUCUUUGGAUGAUUAGGAUCUAAGGGGCCAACAGCUUUGCAAUAACAGCAUAAAUAUUGUGGGCUGGAUGGACAGGCACCAAAUGGGGACAUUCCAUCCUGCUGUGUGAUGAGAAAGCUGCCACUUUUGAGGCCUUCCAAAACAAAUCAACACUCCAUAUGCCAGAAGGAAAAGCCCAGGAAAGACCUAUUCCAACUGGAGAUGGAAUACGAAGGGAGAAUGAAACAAAACUGCUCCGCUUAGGGAACUUGGAAAGGAAAUUGAAAAGGCAAGGCACAGGCUGGAAGAAAAUAUUUGAAAAAGAUUUAUGUGAACUUCUUUCUGGAUUAUACAAAAUAUUUUUAGAUAUUCUUACAACUCUAAAAUAAGAUAACUCCUUAAAAAUCUAAAUUCUACCAAAGGAGAGAUAAAGAUGACGAAUACAUUCAAAGAUGCUGAAAAUCACUUAUUUAUUAUUAGGAAGUUACAAGCUAAAGCAUAAUGAGAUACCACUACAACCUACUAAACUGACUAAAAUUAAUCAGACUAACCAGGUGUUGGCAAGAAACAGGGACACUGAGACUCUCACACUGCUGGAAGGAAUGUAAAAUGCUAAAACUUCUUUGGAAAUGAGUUCAGUAACUUUUUAAACAGUUGAAAAUAGACCUAUCAUGCAAACCAGCAAUCCCACUUCCAGGUAUUUAUACAAGGAAAAUGACAACAUAUGCCCACAUAAAGACUUGUGCACAAAUGACCGUAGCAGCUUUGUGAUAAUUGCUAAAAACUAGAAACUUGUCAAGUGUCCAACAGCUAAGGAAAUAGAGACAAACUACAUAAGUUGCUGAAAAAUCACAGCAAAUAAUUAGCUGAGGAAGAGACUCAAAUCUAUCAGAACUGCUUGACUUUUGAUCCUGAGCUUAUGCGCAUCCAGUGGGCAAGUGAGGGUGCAUGGGUUUGUGAAGACUCCAGCAGUAUGAUUGGGGUUGACAUGCAGGCUGGACAUACAGUGGGCCUCGAUUGCUUAGAAGCCAAACUGAACUCACCAAGAAAAGAAGACAGGAGAAACUUCUCAAGAGGAAUAUCUCCAAAUUGCAGGAUCGAAUACCAUAAGAGGAAUUCUGGACUGAAGAGUUAUGAAGUCAUUUCAGACACUUCCAGACAAUUUGUGUUAAUUAAAUUCUCACUGGUUGAGUUCCAUUCUACACUGGAAGAGCAUUUUUCCUGGAAAGGCUCCUCAAAAUGUACCUUUGGCAAACACAGAGAGGUAUGCUCAUAGAAGAGGUGAGUUUGGAACUGCAAAUCCUCCCAGCCUCAGGACCUCUCUUUUGGUUGCCUGCUCUGCUACAAAGCUGGAGAUCUAAAGUGGAGGCGUGUAGAAGACACCGUCUGGCUGGACACCAUCAAGAGUCACCUCCUCAGUGAAGCCUUCCAUGGUUUCAUACCACCCAUCCCUAUCGGAAUGAAUGUAUCCUUGUUCUCCGUUAUCCCAGUAUUUUGCCUGGGCUUCUGUCACACUACUUUCAAUGUCUAUACCUCAGUUAUCGAAUCGAAAAACAAGAGUCAUCAGUCUCUAAGGUCCUUGCAAGCUUCAAAACUUUAUAUUUUUGUCAAUUACAACUGAAUAAAGCUGAACAACUUAUUAUUUAUGGAUACUUGCUCAAGCACCAUAUAACUCUUUCAGAUAUUUUAAAAGAAUAUGUUUGCAAAAGACUCCAAAUCAAUGUAUUAAAUUGAAAUCCAGUAUCAAAACACCCAUUAAAGUGCUCUUUUGAAAUUGUACAUUUUAUAUCAAUAAAAUUUCAAAAUAUAAAAACCUCUAUUUUACUUGUUGAAUUCUUAGGAAUAAUAACUAAACAGUUUUAAAAUAUUAGUAGAAAGAUGGUGUCUUUGAAAUAAGAAGAAUGGAGUUGGAGCAUAAGUUGCUUCUAGUUGAAUGACCUGGGCAUGAUUUAUCAUGUCUUUGCACCUCAGUUUCCCUAUCUGUAAAAUGGCAGUAAUGCUGACUUUACUUCACUAAGCUGUUGAGUAGAUUAAAUUAGACUGUG